GGUUAAGCGACUAAGCGUACACGGUGGAUGCCCUGGCAGUCAGAGGCGAUGAAGGACGUGCUAAUCUGCGAUAAGCGUCGGUAAGGUGAUAUGAACCGUUAUAACCGGCGAUUUCCGAAUGGGGAAACCCAGUGUGUUUCGACACACUAUCAUUAACUGAAUCCAUAGGUUAAUGAGGCGAACCGGGGGAACUGAAACAUCUAAGUACCCCGAGGAAAAGAAAUCAACCGAGAUUCCCCCAGUAGCGGCGAGCGAACGGGGAGCAGCCCAGAGCCUGAAUCAGUGUGUGUGUUAGUGGAAGCGUCUGGAAAGGCGCGCGAUACAGGGUGACAGCCCCGUACACAAAAAUGCACAUGCUGUGAGCUCGAUGAGUAGGGCGGGACACGUGGUAUCCUGUCUGAAUAUGGGGGGACCAUCCUCCAAGGCUAAAUACUCCUGACUGACCGAUAGUGAACCAGUACCGUGAGGGAAAGGCGAAAAGAACCCCGGCGAGGGGAGUGAAAAAGAACCUGAAACCGUGUACGUACAAGCAGUGGGAGCACGCUUAGGCGUGUGACUGCGUACCUUUUGUAUAAUGGGUCAGCGACUUAUAUUCUGUAGCAAGGUUAACCGAAUAGGGGAGCCGAAGGGAAACCGAGUCUUAACUGGGCGUUAAGUUGCAGGGUAUAGACCCGAAACCCGGUGAUCUAGCCAUGGGCAGGUUGAAGGUUGGGUAACACUAACUGGAGGACCGAACCGACUAAUGUUGAAAAAUUAGCGGAUGACUUGUGGCUGGGGGUGAAAGGCCAAUCAAACCGGGAGAUAGCUGGUUCUCCCCGAAAGCUAUUUAGGUAGCGCCUCGUGAAUUCAUCUCCGGGGGUAGAGCACUGUUUCGGCAAGGGGGUCAUCCCGACUUACCAACCCGAUGCAAACUGCGAAUACCGGAGAAUGUUAUCACGGGAGACACACGGCGGGUGCUAACGUCCGUCGUGAAGAGGGAAACAACCCAGACCGCCAGCUAAGGUCCCAAAGUCAUGGUUAAGUGGGAAACGAUGUGGGAAGGCCCAGACAGCCAGGAUGUUGGCUUAGAAGCAGCCAUCAUUUAAAGAAAGCGUAAUAGCUCACUGGUCGAGUCGGCCUGCGCGGAAGAUGUAACGGGGCUAAACCAUGCACCGAAGCUGCGGCAGCGACACUAUGUGUUGUUGGGUAGGGGAGCGUUCUGUAAGCCUGUGAAGGUGUGCUGUGAGGCAUGCUGGAGGUAUCAGAAGUGCGAAUGCUGACAUAAGUAACGAUAAAGCGGGUGAAAAGCCCGCUCGCCGGAAGACCAAGGGUUCCUGUCCAACGUUAAUCGGGGCAGGGUGAGUCGACCCCUAAGGCGAGGCCGAAAGGCGUAGUCGAUGGGAAACAGGUUAAUAUUCCUGUACUUGGUGUUACUGCGAAGGGGGGACGGAGAAGGCUAUGUUGGCCGGGCGACGGUUGUCCCGGUUUAAGCGUGUAGGCUGGUUUUCCAGGCAAAUCCGGAAAAUCAAGGCUGAGGCGUGAUGACGAGGCACUACGGUGCUGAAGCAACAAAUGCCCUGCUUCCAGGAAAAGCCUCUAAGCAUCAGGUAACAUCAAAUCGUACCCCAAACCGACACAGGUGGUCAGGUAGAGAAUACCAAGGCGCUUGAGAGAACUCGGGUGAAGGAACUAGGCAAAAUGGUGCCGUAACUUCGGGAGAAGGCACGCUGAUAUGUAGGUGAGGUCCCUCGCGGAUGGAGCUGAAAUCAGUCGAAGAUACCAGCUGGCUGCAACUGUUUAUUAAAAACACAGCACUGUGCAAACACGAAAGUGGACGUAUACGGUGUGACGCCUGCCCGGUGCCGGAAGGUUAAUUGAUGGGGUUAGCGCAAGCGAAGCUCUUGAUCGAAGCCCCGGUAAACGGCGGCCGUAACUAUAACGGUCCUAAGGUAGCGAAAUUCCUUGUCGGGUAAGUUCCGACCUGCACGAAUGGCGUAAUGAUGGCCAGGCUGUCUCCACCCGAGACUCAGUGAAAUUGAACUCGCUGUGAAGAUGCAGUGUACCCGCGGCAAGACGGAAAGACCCCGUGAACCUUUACUAUAGCUUGACACUGAACAUUGAGCCUUGAUGUGUAGGAUAGGUGGGAGGCUUUGAAGUGUGGACGCCAGUCUGCAUGGAGCCGACCUUGAAAUACCACCCUUUAAUGUUUGAUGUUCUAACGUGGACCCGUGAUCCGGGUUGCGGACAGUGUCUGGUGGGUAGUUUGACUGGGGCGGUCUCCUCCUAAAGAGUAACGGAGGAGCACGAAGGUUGGCUAAUCCUGGUCGGACAUCAGGAGGUUAGUGCAAUGGCAUAAGCCAGCUUGACUGCGAGCGUGACGGCGCGAGCAGGUGCGAAAGCAGGUCAUAGUGAUCCGGUGGUUCUGAAUGGAAGGGCCAUCGCUCAACGGAUAAAAGGUACUCCGGGGAUAACAGGCUGAUACCGCCCAAGAGUUCAUAUCGACGGCGGUGUUUGGCACCUCGAUGUCGGCUCAUCACAUCCUGGGGCUGAAGUAGGUCCCAAGGGUAUGGCUGUUCGCCAUUUAAAGUGGUACGCGAGCUGGGUUUAGAACGUCGUGAGACAGUUCGGUCCCUAUCUGCCGUGGGCGCUGGAGAACUGAGGGGGGCUGCUCCUAGUACGAGAGGACCGGAGUGGACGCAUCACUGGUGUUCGGGUUGUCAUGCCAAUGGCACUGCCCGGUAGCUAAAUGCGGAAGAGAUAAGUGCUGAAAGCAUCUAAGCACGAAACUUGCCCCGAGAUGAGUUCUCCCUGACUCCUUGAGAGUCCUGAAGGAACGUUGAAGACGACGACGUUGAUAGGCCGGGUGUGUAAGCGCAGCGAUGCGUUGAGCUAACCGGUACUAAUGAACCGUGAGGCUUAACCUU
rnacentral:rRNA from 1 species